CCGCUAUUGGAGUUCGAUUAAGCCAUGCGAGUCGAGAGUCCUCGGGACUCGGCGUACCGCUCAGUAACACGUGGGUAACCUGCCCUAUGCUGGGGAAUAACCUCGGGAAACUGAGAAUAAUGCCCCAUAGCCCACUACGCCUGGAACGGUGAGUGGGUCAAAGCUCCGGCGGCAUAGGAUGGGCCUGCGCCGUAUCAGGUUGUAGGGGGUGUAAAGUACCCUCUAGCCAUCAACGCGUACGGGUGUUGGGAGACAUUGCCCGGAGAUGGAUUCUGAGACACGAAUCCAGACCCUACGGGGUGCAGCAGGCGCGAAAACUUGGCAAUGCGAGCAAUCGUGACCAGGGAACUCCAAGUGCGUAGGGUAAGACCUACGCUUUUCUUGACUCUUCAAAGGUCUUGGAAUAAGGGGUGGGUAAGGACGGUGCCAGCCGCCGCGGUAAUACCGGCGCCUCAAGUGGUAGUCGCUUUUAUUGGGCCUAAAACGUCCGUAGCCGGUCUGGUGCAUUCGUGGGUAAAUCAACCCGCUCAACGGGUUGAAUUCUGCGAGCACGGCCAGACUUGGGACCGGGAGAGGUGUGGGGUACUCUCAGGGUAGGGGUAAAAUCCUGUCAUCCUGAGAGGACCACCUGUUGCGAAGGCGCCACACUAGAACGGAUCCGACGGUCAGGGACGAAACCUAGGGGCACGAACCGGAUUAGAUACCCGGGUAGUCCUAGGUGUAAACGCUGUGGACUUGAUGUUGGGGGCGCUCCGAGCGCUCUCAGUGUCGAAGCGAAGGUGAUAAGUCCACUGCCUGGGGAGUACGGUCGCAAGGCUGAAACUUAAAGGAAUUGGCGGGGGAGCACUGCAACCUGAGGAUUGUGCGG
rnacentral:rRNA from 1 species